rnacentral:rRNA from 1 species
UACGGAGGGUGCAAGCGUUAAUCGGAAUUACUGGGCGUAAAGCGCACGUAGGCGGCUGAGUCAGUCGAUUGUGAAAGCCCUGGGCUUAACCUGGGAAUUGCAGUCGAUACUACUCAGCUAGAGUAUGGGAGAGGGCAGUGGAAUUCCCGGUGUAGCGGUGAAAUGCGUAGAUAUCGGGAGGAACAUCAGUGGCGAAGGCGGCUGCCUGGCCCAAUACUGACACUCAGGUGCGACAGCGUGGGGAGCAAACAGG